rnacentral:rRNA from 1 species
UACGGAGGGUGCAAGCGUUAUCCGGAUUUACUGGGUUUAAAGGGUGCGUAGGUGGGUCUGUAAGUCAGUGGUGAAAUCUCCGGGCUUAACUCGGAAACUGCCAUUGAUACUAUAGGUCUUGAAUUAUCUGGAGGUGAGCGGAAUAUGUCAUGCAGCGGUGAAAUGCUUAGAUAUGACAUAGAACACCAAUUGCGAAGGCAGCUCACUACGGAUAUAUUGACACUGAGGCACGAAAGCGUGGGGAUCAAACAGG